UUCCUUCGUCGUCUGACGCAUCCGUGCUGCGUCCUCCGCCACCGGCUUCGUCCGCUCGCUGACUCCUUUUUCGCUUUAAAAACCCCACUCGCUUGAUCCUCUUCUUCUCUCCUUAAAGCAAAACAAAUCAGAUCAGAGCUGGCUCUCUCUCAAGCCACCGAUCUAAACCCCACCAACGAGAGGAGAGGAGGGGAAAGCAAGAACCCUCAAUGGGCAACCGCACGUCACGCCGCCACAAGGAGCCUCCGUCCCCCUUGCCAGAUCGCCCUACCCCUCCACGCCCCCGCCCCAAACUCCCUGCCGCCGUCGCCGCCCCCAGAUCACCCGGACCCAUCGUUCCCCGCCCGAUCCCAUCCGACGUCGGGCGCGUUCUCGGCCGGCCCAUGGAGGACGUCCGCGCCACCUACACCUUCGGCCGGGAGCUCGGCCGCGGCCAGUUUGGGGUGACCUACCUCGUCACCCACCGGGGGACCACGAAGCAGUUCGCCUGCAAGUCCAUCGCCACCCGGAAGCUAGUCCGUCAGGAUGACCUCGACGACGUCCGCCGCGAGAUUCAGAUCAUGCACCACCUCACCGGCCACCGCAACAUCGUCGAGCUCAAGGGGGCCUACGAGGACCGGCACUCGGUCAACCUCGUGAUGGAAAUCUGCGAGGGCGGGGAGCUGUUCGAUAGGAUCAUCUCCAAGGGCCACUACUCGGAGCGAGCGGCCGCCGCACUCUGCCGAGAGAUCGUUAACGUCGUCCACGCCUGCCACUCCAUGGGCGUGAUGCAUCGGGAUCUCAAGCCGGAGAACUUCUUGUUCUUGAACAAGAGAGAGAGUUCGCCGCUCAAGGCCACCGAUUUUGGGCUCUCCGUGUUCUUCAAGCCCGGAGAAAUAUUUAAAGAUCUUGUUGGAAGUGCAUAUUAUGUUGCUCCUGAGGUAUUGCGACGCCGUUAUGGAGCAGAAGCUGAUAUUUGGAGUGCUGGAGUUAUACUGUACAUCCUUCUUUCUGGUGUCCCUCCUUUUUGGGCAGAAAACGAGGAGGGUAUAUUCGAUGCUGUAUUGCAUGGCCAAAUUGAUUUCUCAUCUGAUCCAUGGCCUUCUAUAUCUUUUGGUGCUAAAGAAUUGGUUAGAAAGAUGCUUAGAGCAGAUCCAAAGGAGCGACUUACUGCUGCUGAAAUUCUCAACCAUCCAUGGAUGAGAGAAGAUGGUGCACCUGAUAAGCCACUUGAUCUUACAGUUUUGAAUAGAAUGAAGCAGUUCAGGGCCAUGAACAAGCUUAAGAAAGUGGCACUGAAGGUCAUAGCAGAAAGCUUGUCAGAGGACGAAAUCAUGGGUUUGAAAGAGAUGUUCAAAUCUAUCGACACUGACAAUAGUGGGACUAUAACUUAUGAAGAAUUAAAAGCAGGACUACCGAAAUUGGGCAAUUUGGGCAUCAAGAUUUCUGAAUCUGAAGUCAGACAGCUGAUGGAGGCAGUAUGUCCCUUUCUUGCCUUUUCUUUGCAAAAUCACUUAAAAACUUUGGUUGUGGUUUUCUUUCUUGGUUGACUAUCUUCUUGGACAAUGGGCAUAAGCAUUUAAUGAAAUUCUGUUGUAUAAAUUUGUGAAUUUAAGCAUGAAGACAAGCUUUGAUGUAGUAAAUUCAUUGAUGAGAGUUUCAUUGAAGCUAGUAUAGAGACCAAAAACUAGUUAGCCAGUGCUUGAAAGUUGAAAAGACAUUUCACAUAUUAUGAUUUCCUGACUGGUGAAUUAAGGCUUUCAUUUGUGCCAUCUGAUUCGUCAUCCUUUUACAAGAUAGGCAGCUUCUAUUGCCAGAAUUACUGAAAACAUUAUGGAACCACAACGAUAACCAAAGUAUUUCAGGGUUCACCAUUUUGUUGCUUUAUGCAUUGGGUUCUGACUUUAAAGAACUUAUCUGAAAUGUGGGUUGAUUCUGCACAAUCUGUUGUGGAUCUGAUAUAGUUGGACAUGUAAUUCACAUUAUCUUGCUUUAUGCAUUUAGGUAUGUCUUGGUUAUCGGUCACAGGUCAAUAACAGAUAUGCAACAGAAAUAAAGGCUUCCCCAAAGAAGCAACUAACCUUCUUGUUAUCAACUGUCGAUACAUUUUUCUUAGGACCUGCUGUUGCUCCAAGAUUAAAUGCAGUGUAGCUCCUAAGAUAACCUAUUUUUUCCUGACAGGCUGAUGUAGAUGGAAAUGGAAGCAUUGAUUAUAUUGAAUUUAUAACAGCUACGAUGCACAUGAAUAGAAUGGAAAAGGAAGACCAUUUGUACAGAGCAUUUGAGUAUUUUGAUGAAGACAAGAGCGGGUACAUCACAGUCGAGGAAUUGGAGCAAGCUCUCAAGAAGUAUAACAUGGGUGAUGAGAAAACAAUAAAAGAGAUAAUCACAGAAGUUGACACAGACAGGGAUGGAAGAAUUAACUACGAGGAGUUUGCGACUAUGAUGAGAAAAGACAGUUCAGAACCCAUACGUACCAGGAGACGUAAAUAAGGCUUUUCUUUUGCCAGUAUGAUAAUUAAGUUAGAUCGUGCUCAUCUUAUCACUGUUCUUGAAAGAAGAAAGAGAGAGAGAGAGAGAGAGAGAGAGAGCAGUGAGGAGUUGCGUCAUCUGCUGAAAGGAAUUCAUUUUCUAGUAGAGAGGAGUUUGGUUUCCGGUGUAAUAUAGUUGCGGUGCAGCUUCUAAGAUUCAGCCAUAUGCAAAAGAUCAAGUGAAACUUAUACUAUGGCAGGGGACAGUAUUUUCGGUGUGGUAUGUGCAACGAAUGGUAGCGUAGUCAAGUCCUUCUCAAGUCCUUCCGCCUCUUCUUUUGGCCUUUGGAAUUGCUUGAAUUAGUUCUUCAUGGAUAAUGAUUGGGACUUUUGGUUGCCAACUGAAUGCUAUUAGCUUUUAUUAAGUAUUACAAAAAUACUGUUAGCGUCAAUCGCCACCGGAUGUAAUGUUUGUGGGAUCAACAGAAAAUGAUAAACUUGUGAGGGGAAAGAAUAUCAGUCUUUUUUUUAAACAUAUUUGCUGUAAAAUAGAACUCAUUAUCAACAAAUUCCAAUGAUGUUUUUUGUUCCA